UACGUAGGGGGCAAGCGUUAUCCGGAUUCAUUGGGCGUAAAGCGCUCGUAGGCGGUCUGUUAGGUCGGGAGUUAAAUCCGGAGGCUCAACCUCCGCCCGCUCCCGAUACCGGCAGACUUGAGUUUGGUAGGGGAAGGUGGAAUUCCUAGUGUAGCGGUGGAAUGCGCAGAUAUUAGGAAGAACACCAGUGGCGAAGGCGGCCUUCUGGGCCAUAACUGACGCUGAGGAGCGAAAGCUAGGGGAGCAAACA
rnacentral:rRNA from 1 species